GUCCUACGGGGCGCAGCAGUGGGGAAUAUUGCACAAUGGGGGAAACCCUGAUGCAGCGACGCCGCGUGGGCGAGGAAGUACCUCGGUAUGUAAAGCCCUAUCAGCAGGGAAGAAACAGGACAGUACCUGACUAAGAAGCCCCGGCUAACUACGUGCCAGCAGCCGCGGUAAUACGUAGGGGGCAAGCGUUAUCCGGAUUUACUGGGUGUAAAGGGAGCGUAGACGGCGCGGCAAGUCUGAAGUGAAAGGCAGGGGCUUAACCCCUGAACUGCUUUGGAAACUGCCAUGCUAGAGUGCUGGAGAGG
rnacentral:rRNA from 1 species